AAAAUGGAGAGUUUGAUCCUGGCUCAGGAUGAACGCUGGCGGUAUGCUUAACACAUGCAAGUCGAACGGUCUCUUCGGAGAUAGUGGCGGACGGGUGAGUAACGCGUGAGAAUCUAGCUUCAGGUCGGGGACAACCACUGGAAACGGUGGCUAAUACCGGAUGUGCCGAGAGGUAAAAGGCUUGCUGCCUGAAGAUGAGCUCGCGUCUGAUUAGCUAGUAGGUGUGGUAAGAGCGCACCUAGGCGACGAUCAGUAGCUGGUCUGAGAGGAUGAUCAGCCACACUGGGACUGAGACACGGCCCAGACUCCUACGGGAGGC
rnacentral:rRNA from 1 species